CCUACGGGUGGCUGCAGUGAGGAAUAUUGGUCAAUGGGCGCGAGUCUGAACCAGCCAAGCAGCGUGAAGGAUGACUGCCCUACGGGUUGUAAACUUCUUUUAUAAAGGAAUAAACUGCGGUACGUGUGUCUUUUUGCAUGUACCUUACGAAUAAGGAUCGGCUAACUCCGUGCCAGCAGCCGCGGUAAUACGGAGGAUCCGAGCGUUAUCCGGAUUUAUUGGGUUUAAAGGGAGCGUAGUUGGGUUGGUAAGUUAGUUGUGAAAGUUUGGGGCUCAACCCUGAAAUUGCAAUUAAUACUGGCGGUCUAGAGUACAGUUGAGGUAGGCGGAAUGCAUGGUGUAGCGGUGAAAUGCUUAGAGAUCACACAGAACUCCGAUUGCGAAGGCAGCUUACUAAACUGCAACUGACGUUGAUGCACGAAAGUGUGGGUAUCAAACAGGAUUAGAUACCCCAGUAGUC
rnacentral:rRNA from 1 species